ACUUUUGCCCCGGGGCCUCUGUGUAGGCCCCCAGCAAUACUGAAGUGGCCAGCAUGCCCUUUUGGGAGGCAAGUAGUAUGAAGGGGGAUGCCACUAUUGAAAUGUUGCAUGCUCUGGCUUGAAAGACUGUGAAGCGUCUGCUCAGACUUUCCCCAUCAAUGCUUAACUUUUGCUUGAGCACAGACAGGCACCUCAGUAAGAACACAACUAAUUACCUCUGCAGCCCAGCCAGUCCAGCAGUCAGCAGUAUUCUCACUUGCAGCUUCUGGCUCUGCAGGGCUGAUUUGAGAGUAACUAAUUAAACACAGGUGCAGGCUAGAAGACUUGUUGAAUUAAUGUACAGUGUCUUCUUUUCAGGCGUUCGUAGCUCACGAGAAAAGAGCAAGCACCUGAUGCUACAAAUAAUAAUAGAGUUCCAGUGAUGGAGAUACAGGAAUUUCGGGGGUUUAAAUGAUGGUAAGGAGGAUAUCACAUUCUUCAGUAACAGCCCCAUGGAAUGCAAAGCAAACAGAAGAUCAGAAGCAUUAAGAGACUUCAGCCUCAACACAGAUGGAAAACAAAACAAAACAAAACAAAACAGAAGCAGCAGGUUGAAGAAUACACUUGCUUACUCCAAGCUGCCUCUACAGCUGUGUCUUCUCAGAAGUUGCCUCCAACACAGUGGCACAAGUAGACUUUUUGUGACUGAAGACUGUCAGCAGAAGACUGCACAUCAGCUGUAAUAAAAAACUUGGUUUUCUAUUAAAUUUUAUAGUGA
rnacentral:lncRNA from 1 species